UCGUCCCCGUCUUGAUAACCUGCAGCAUACAAAAUUCCGGUUGCAUCAGUAAUUUGCAGUUCAGUUCCUUAGUCACAUGGCUAAUGGAUAAGAGCUUAUGUGAUAAUGACGGAACAUAAAGGCCGUUAGACAGGCGUAAAGUAGGAGAAAUAUUAAUUGUUCCCGCCCCCGGACUGGCGCUAGGUCUCCACUGGCAGUUUGGACAUAGUUUUUUUUUUAUUUUGAAAUGGAUAAAAAAUCUGAGGCAUCAAAUGACAUUGUGUCGGUAGCCCCGCAAUCAAAUAUCCAUUGGGUGUCUUUGGUAUGUGAUUGUGAGGUUGAAGACAAUGCUAGGGGUUCAAAAGAAUUUUUACACGGAGUAAAUGGCUGAAUUUGAGGAGUAAUCUGCAAUGUUUUGGCAGUUUUGGGGUCAUUGUGAGUUUUGGGUAAAAUUCGUGGGGCAUUGUGAGGUUUAGGACAGAUCUGGGGUGGUUUCUGGUAUAUUUGGGAGGAAUGGGGUCGGUUUUGGGAUUUUUUAUUUUUCAUGGGUGGAUUUUGGGAUUGGGUAUGAAUCUGGGGUGGGAUUUGUAGUAUAGGGAAAUUAGAGGGGUUGAAUUUGUCUUUUGUAAGAGUCUGGGUAUUUGAUUGAAGAUCUCCCCCAUUCUCGGAAACCCCAGCCGCCUCCCCUUUAUUCUUCCUCACUUCUUCCUUGUUUCCCAUCGCAAAGCUGCCGCCGCCGUGGAUGCUCUUCGAUGGAUAGGCCCUUGUCGGAGAAGGCGUCGUCCAGACCCUUGUCGGAGAAGGCGUCGUCAUUUCACGGGAGGGACGCUGAGGACGACAUGCUUCCGAGGCUGGAGGCUGGAGGUAUGGCCGACAUGCUUCCGAGGCUGAGGACGGUGCCGGGCUUGCUGGCCGACAGAAGAGGCGGCGGGAGUUCGGCAGCUCCACCGAGGACGGUGGAUAGGCGCUGUCCGUCGGUGCGUUGGCCCCGCACCUCCUCUGCUUCUUCCUCCUUUUCCACCGCAAAGCCACUGACGCUCCUUCACCCUCUGAGAGCUCUAGCGUCGGCGCCGCCGGCUGUUGACUGAAUACUCCGAGACGUCGAUUGGAAGGAGAAGUCGGUUGCUUAUAACCAGCAAAACCAGAUUCAGGAAUGUGUUGACAUGCUUGUUGCCUCCUCUGUUCAUGUAACUGAAGAAACUCUUCCCACAUAUUCGCAUGUUCACUCUUUAGUGUAGCUACUUUUCUCAUGAAAUUCUCCCUCAUCUCUGUAACAGCCUCACGAUGCUUGAAAUUUUCAUCAUCUUCUUCUUUGUCCCGAAGUUUAGCAGAUUCGCCGCUGGUUUUCUUCGGGUGGUAGGAUUUUUGGUUUUGAUUUGUGUUGGCUUUGUACAAAUCAAUUAGAUUUGAGAUAGACUCGAUCAAUAGCUCGAGAGUGUAUAUUUGAUUGACCUCCAUUUGAGGCUUUUUGUUGAUUUCCUGCUCUGAUACCAUCUUAACGAUGGUAAUCGAGAGAGGUGAUACUCAUAUUGACGAAAGAAAGAUAUAGGAUGUUUGAGAGUAGAAGAUGUAGUGUAUUGCUUUUUAAUUUGAAUAAUGUACAGCCUCUACGUUAUAUAGGAUAGAAUCAUUCCUAUCUAUGGUAAAGCUGUAAAUGUAAUCAAUCUAUUUUUGGAUAGAAUCCAAUUGAAUCAAUCCUAGCAAUCAAAUAAUUAUUCUCCUCAAUCUUCUCUCUUGGUGUGAAUAUUCUAUGGGAUCCAUUUUGACACUUUGAUACUGUUUCAUUAUGUGGAAUUAAAUUUCAACUUUUCCCCUAAUUACUUAUUAACCGCUCUUUCCGCUCAAUCAAUACACAGCUUUAACCUUCCUGCUGUUUGAAGGAGUGGCUGAGCCUUCUCCGACCACGGGUUCCUUUUUCAAGCCUCAGUUGAUGCAAGCAUAUGUUGAAAAUGCAGCAAUUCUAUUUGAGAAAAAAUCCACCAGUGAUAAUGUUGUAGAUGAAAGAACAUCCAGUGGUUACGAGUUUAGGUUUCGUACUGGAGUUAGUUCCACAUCAGGAUUAUCUUCUGCAGGAAUUUCGGUAAUGCACCAAAACUUUCCUUUAAGUCUUAAGAUAACUCUUAUUGGUGUAGUUUUCAAAAUAAGCCGCAUGUGCUCAAACAAUUGAAUGGGUUGCAAAAUGAUUUUAAAUUAUGUUUCGUAAGUGCAUGUUGAACUUAUGAUUGUAGAACCUGCCUUUCAAAUGGAAAACUGAUCGAUCUUUUGAUAGAUUUUAGGACUUUGUGUCCUUUUUUCCCUAUAUUUUGAUGGAUUAAGGAUAAUUAUUUUUAUGUGUCUCGUUCUCGUGCACAAACAUAUGAAUAUAGUUUGGCUUCUAUGGUUUGACAUGGUCAAAAAGGUUACACAUUCAGAGUGAAGAUCAAUUUAUUAGGAUCAGUGAGUUCUGAUCCUCCCUCUAGUUAUCCAAGGUCUUCAUAUCUCACUGGAUACCUUUUUUUUGGGGUGUAAAGGUUCCUGUAGGAAUAAAUCAAAACGGACUAGUCACUCAUCAAGAUCAGCAAUAUUCUCAGUCUGCUACACCCUCUUUUUUUGGCACAACAAUCUCAUGCUGUAGCUCAACAGAAUUCAUCUGUCUAUGAUAGUAUUGAUGAAUCAAAUCAAGGACCACAGUCCAAUACAUGUCAAUAGCCUACAUAUCAAAUGUCAACAACUUGUCAACAAUUGUAUAAAGUGUGAACAACUCAAAAAACAAAUCUUAUAAUUAAAAAAGAACAAGUAUUUUUUUUUUCUUUUUUUUCCUCUUUACCACAAGUUCUGGCAUGAUGAUCAUACAAUACAUGUCAAUAGAGUGCAAAAUCAAAUAUCAACAACUAAUAAGAAAAGGCCAAUAACUUGGAGUAUAUGUCAACAACUAAAAAACAACUCUGAUUAUUAAAAAGAACAAUUAUGUCUUCUUUUUGCCACAACUUCUGGCAUUAUGACCAGACACUUUAUGACACUUUCCACAACGCCUAUGAGGUUUAUUUGCUUUUUCAAUUGCUUUCUCUAUGCUCGACUAAAGCCUGCUUUUCUUGUCACUUGCACCUCCCGUUUACUAACCACAUCUGGAGCAUGUGCAGUUAUUUCUUCAGGUACAACAACACCAUAUAUGUUCUUGAUUGAAUCAUUUUUACCAACUGACGACGAUCCAGUAGUGUCAUCAGUAAAAAUUUGAGGACCAAUACCCGCAAGCACAUUAUCCAAAGCAAUCGAAUAAUAUUUAUUCCUAAAAGCGCGUUGAUAUAGACCAAAGUAACGUCCAUGACACCUGUUACCAAUCUGUAGUUUGUCAUCUUUGUUAGAACCUGCAAACAUAUAACAUGUCAAUAGCCUAUAUA